AACGAACGCUGGCGGCAUGCCUAACACAUGCAAGUCGAACGAGAUCCUUCGGGGUCUAGUGGCGCACGGGUGCGUAACGCGUGGGAAUCUGCCCUUAGGUACGGAAUAACUCAGGGAAACUUGUGCUAAUACCGUAUGAUGUCUUCGGACCAAAGAUUUAUCGCCUAGGGGAUGAGCCCGCGUAGGAUUAGCUAGUUGGUGGGGUAAAGGCCUACCAAGGCUACGAUCCUUAGCUGGCUGAGAGGAUGAUCAGCCACACUGGGACUGAGACACGGCCCAAACUCCUACGGGAGGCAGCAGU
rnacentral:rRNA from 1 species